GCCUGGCUGGCUUAGUUGGAAGAGCAUGGGACUCUUGAUCUCAGUGUUGUGAGUUCAAGCCCCAUGUUGGGCA
rnacentral:tRNA from 1 species